GGGUGGAAGCAGGUCGGGAGCCCGAGGGCGCAGGAUUCACGGCCGGGGGCGGGACCCAAGCUAGUGACCCCGCCCCCUCCCCAAAGGAUUCUCCCGAGAGGAACUGCGGAAGAAACAGCUGGAUGUGUAAGGGGGUUGACGGGGGAGGGGAUCGCAUGACUGGGACCUGCCUGCAGCUGGCGCUCAGAAAUGCCCCUGCCCCCUUCUCCAAGCCUCCCAGGGCUCCCAUGGCCUUCAGGUCCCAGGUUUUCAGGUGACAUACAAACACUGAGCACCUACUGUAUGCCAGGCACCGGCAUGGAUUAAUUUACUUAAUCACACCAACCCAGGAAUGUGAAUACUAUAACAUUAUAUUUUAAUAGUUGGGGACACUGAGGCAAAGCUAGAAUUUGAACCCAGACCAUCUGGCUGGAGAGUCUCCUUGCUUAACCAUUGUAUUCUACUGCCUCCGGAAGUGAGGGCUUAACCUGAGUCAGUGACUCCUGACGGGUAGCCUAGAACAUUUCAGGCAUAAAAACAGCCCGUACAUCAUGGGGUAGGUGUGAAGACUCAGUGAGUGCUUAGGGUGGUCUCUAGCACUCCGUAGGUGCUCAGUAAAUAUGAGCUUAAAAAAGGAUUAAAGAAGACUUUUCAGAGGAGAUGCUGAGUGGGGCUUUGAAGGGUGUAUAGAAGUCUUCCACAGCAGAUUGGGCCAAGGAAAGGACACCAGGCAGAGGACCCAGCAAGAAUGGCAGAAGAUAAAGUUCUGGAGGGUUUGGUGAACUGGCUAAGCAUGACCCAGGGCAAGGUACCCUUCACCUGGAAGCUUUUCCAGGCAUAACUGCUCCAGGUUUCUCCAUGUGUGCCAAUCCUGACUAAACUGGAAGGGGAGAGGUGCAGAUAUGAAACUCAGAGCCGAGUUAUUUUCUGUUCCCAGCCUUGUCUGGCACAGGCCUGGGCCCCCAUUCAGCUAACGUUUAUUGAAUAGAUAUGUUCUGCCCCUAUGGCUCGCACUCCAUGGCUCUCAUUUGCCUGAAAGGCCACGCCCAAACUCCCCAGCCUGGCCUUCAAUGCCUUGCUCAAGCUGCCCUGUUAACCUACUGCUGUUUCCUCUUGACUGUCUCCAGCCAUCUUGAAUUUACCAGCAUGACUCUCUAAGCCUUUGCAUGUGCUGUUUCCUGCCAGGAAAGCCCUUCCUUUGAGGCCACAUGUUAAGAUAUUUUUGAGGGGUCACUUCCUUCUUGGGAUCUCUUGGGUCCUUCUCACUGACCCUAGCUGACCACUGUGUUUGGAAUCAUCUUUCCUCUAGCUUCUGUUCCUACAAUGACUGAGAGGCCCUGUGUUCAGGGCUGAGACCUCCCUGGUGUGUCAGGGAGGGUCUGGGGAUGCCGGUGCAUGGGGGCUGGUCUCAGACGAGCCCCCUGCCCCCUUCUCCCAGUGACCCUCUCCUGGCUGGCCUACCCCGGGACUCUGACUACACUGUGACCUGCCACUGCUCAUCAUCCUUGCCCUCCACCGUGUGUUUGCCCACUGACAGGAAGUGUGACAAGUCCUGGGGCUCUUCCUCAGACAAGACCUUGGACUGUACAACUCAUUGGUCCAGGACCUCAGAUUUGGAGACCUUGGGGCCAGCCGCAUCUGAGAACACAGGGACGUGUGUAGACUGGAGGCCUGGGUGGGGCUCGGGGCUUCAGCCACAUGGGGCUCCCUUCUUCCCCAACCCAGACCUGAUGAAGGAGAGCUAUAAUGAACAGGACCUUCUGAAGAGGCACUACCACAUCACAAAGAAGUCCUUGGAUACCAACAGUUUCAAGGUCAAAGCUAAGUCCACCACAAUGAUCCCCGACUCCCAGAAGCAAUUGCGAGUUGAACUGGAGUCACUCAAGAGCCAGCUACAGGCCCAGACCAAGGCUUUUGAGUUCCUGAACCACUCAGUGACCCUGUUGGAGAAGGAGAGCUGCCUGCAGCAAAUCAAGAUCCAGCAGCUUGAAGAGGUGCUGAGCCCCACAGGCUGCGAGGUACAGAAGGAGCUGCACAAGUGGGGCCUGGAGCAGGGCCGGCAGGAGCUGUAUGGGGCCCUGGCCAAAGGCCUGCAGGGACUGCAGAAGACCCUGCAGGACAAUGAGGCCGUGCAGCAGGCCCGCAUCACCCGCUGCCUGCAGCUGCUGGCCCAGGAGAUCCAGGACAGCAAGAAGUUCCUAUGGGAGGAGCUGGAGCUGGUUCGAGAGGAGGUGACCUUCAUCUACCAGAAGCUCCAGGCUCAGGAGGAGGAGAUCACAGAGAACCUGGUGAACAUCCAGAAGAUGCAGAAGACACAGGUGAAGUGCCGCAAGGUGAGAGGAGAGGCCAGGGACCCUGUGUGAGGUAGGGGCAUGAGGGUCUCUGCUGGCCUCCACCAUCAGACUAGAACCAGAAGGCCUGGGUUCAAAUCCCAGUUCAGUAACUUACUGCUGCACAGCCUUAGGCAACUCAUUUCUUCUCUCUGGGCCUCAGUUUCCUCAUAUGUAUAAUGAAUGUAAUAACAACACAUCUCCACCGGAUCACAAAGCACUCAGUUGUUGUUGUUAGGUGCCAUCAAGCCAGUUCUGACUCAUAGCAACCCUAUGUACAACAGAACGAAACACUGGCCGGUCCUGCAUCAUCCUCGCAAUCAUUGCUAUAUUUUUAGCCCAUUGUUGCAUCCACUGUAUCAGUCCAUCUCAUUGAGGGUCUUCCUCUUUUUCACUGUUGCAGUACUUUACCAAGCAUGAUGUCCUUCUCCGGGGACUGGUCCCUCCUGAUAACGUGUGCAAAUUACGUGAGAAGAAGUCUUGCCAUCCUUGUUCUAAGGAGCAUUCUGGCUGUACUUUUUCCCAGACAGAUUUGUUCAUUCUGGCAGUCCAUGAUAUAUUCAAUAUUCUUCAGCAGCACCAUAAUUCAAAUGUAUCAAUUCUUCUUCGGUCUUCCUUAUUCAUUGCCUAGCUUAUGCAUUUCUCAUGCGAUUGAAAAUACCAUGGCUUGGGCCAGGCACACCUUAGUCCUCAAGGUGACAUCUUUACUUUUUAACACUUUAAUAGAUUUUUUGCACCACAUUUGCCCAACGCAAUACGUUUGAUUUCUUGACUGCUGCUUCCAUGGGCGUUGACUGUGGAUCCAAGUAAAAUGAAAUCGUUGACAACUUCAGCCUUUUCUCUUCUUAUCAUAAUGUUGCUUAUCAUGAUUUUUGUUUUCUUUAUGUUGAGGUGUAAUCCAUACAGAAGGCUGUGGUCUUUGAUCUUCAUCAGUCCUGACCAAGAUGAAGCAACAGAGGUAUGAGACAUGGAGGGAUACUGAGGAGACGCCAGGAGGCAGUGGCUCCUGGAAGGAUGACCUCCAGAAG